UUCCUUUGGUGAAAAUGGGGCAAUAGUAGGCACCUCUUGCAGCUGUUGUGAAGGUUACACGAGAAAGCACAUGAAAAGGCCUGGCACACAGUACAUGCAACAGAAGCUAAUCCCCUUCCUCCAACGUGAUCCUUAUUUAUUGUAAUAAUGGCCCCCAAUCUGUAGCUACACCUAUAUUGAUCCCAUAUCUACAUAAUCUAAUGUGCAUGUGUGUUAUAUUGUAUAUGUGUGCACAUGUGUAGAGAUACAAUCACAAUCAUACUCCAAAGAACACACACAUAUGCCACCCAUGGUGUGCCCUACAAUGUAGGGUCAAACCUAAGGAGGUAUAAAACACCCACAUACACUCACUUUAGUCCGUUGGUACUCCAUUAGGACCUGGCCUAUACAAAGUUGUGAAAACUGAUCCGAUCCCUCUGUUCUGCCAUGGUAACGGUACCCACGUUUGCCAUAGAUAUGUCCUGGCGCCAUCUAGUGGGGGAAUCCAACUUUCUGCCCCAUAGUGCCUCCUUAGGCUUGCUCCAGCCUUUGCUCCCACUCACCAUUUUGUAGGCUGCCUCCAUCAUCCUAAAAAGCGACGAAGCUGAAAAAACUCCUCUGUAUUUCUUUGCAGACACUUUCCAGUUUUCAUCCUGGGUGUUUCUGAACAAGAUUAUAUCUCAUUGAAAUAUUUGCACCUCUACCUACAGACAAGGAAAAGGCUUGGAGCACCUCCAUUCAUUGUGCCAACAGGACCUGAAUGACCUUGGAUGUUGACUGAUGAGAAAACCUGAAUGAAGAGGGAGAACAGAAAGGGCUGGAGGAGAUGGUGAAAUACAAAAUGAGAGUCUGGGGACUGAAAGAAUCCAAAGAAACCAACAAUUUUAAAAAUACGCUACAGAGAGAAAAGGCAAUUGAAACGACAAGGACUAACAGCAGACAGUAUUUAGAAAACAUCAUGGCUCUGAAGAGAAAGUGGAGAUUUUGUGGUGUUGUACAUUGAAAGCUUAUCUGAAACAGUCCCCCUCUCUCUUUUCCUCUCUCUUUGUCCCUCUGUGCCACCCCUAAUGUAUUCACUUUUUUCUCUACUCACUCCCUCACUUCCAAUAUUUAAGUCUUAAAAAACAUUGAAAUAAAAUGCAAUGGACAGCACCCGUAUCCAUCAGUUCCUGUUCUCUUCCCCUGAAACUGGGUAGCACAUUAUGUCGUUCCUGUCAGACCAUCCAGUUGGAAGUCCCCUCUCCUCUAUCUGAGACCGGAUAGCAUUUUGUGUCCCUCUGAUACAGCACAGAUGAAGUCACCCUGGAUUGUAAUCAUCAUGUGUAAGGUUUUUAUCCCUUGAGUAUAAACCCUUAAUAGAAGAGACUGGGUCUCAUUCAUCCCCCAGUAGCCACAGGACAGAGUGCAGUGUUUUUUAGUAUAAGGGGGUGGUCUUCUGCUAAAGGAGUGAGUGAGCUGUCAUUUGAAACCUUGAUUCUCUCCAGGGCUUGGCAACCCAUGGACACAUUGACAUUAAUCACCACAUUUUGGUCCUACCCAGCUCCCACCUACACAACCAGACAGUCUCACACAUUGACUCGAUUAGAAUAAAGAAUCAAGGAAAAGGGCACCUCUACAAUUUUAUUGAAUAGAAUCCCAGACAGAACCCUAAUAUCAAAAACAGAUGGGACAGUUUAAAACUUCUGGGCUUGGCAAAAACCACUUUGUUGUAAGCAGAGGCCUUGAAGCAACCCCAAGUGGCCCCAGAACUCUGUGCCUGCACCCAAGGGACACUGUUGGGCGUAAGAGCUAGGC
ensembl:lncRNA